AUUGAACGCUGGCGGCAGGCCUAACACAUGCAAGUCGAACGAGUGGCGGACGGGUGAGUAAUGUCUGGGAAACUGCCUGAUGGCGGGGGAUAACUACUGGAAACGGUAGCUAAUACCGCAUACCAUCAGAUGUGCCCAUAUGGGAUUAGCUUGUUGGUGGGGUAACGGCUCACCAAGGCAACGAUCCCUAGCUGGUCUGAGAGGAUGACCAGCCACACUGGGACUGAGACACGGUCCAGACUCCUACGGGAGGCAGCAGUGGGGAAUUUUGGACAAUGGGGGAAAGCCUGAUGCAGCCAUGCCGCGUGUAUGAUGAAGGCCUUCGGGUUGUAAAGUACUUUCGGCGGGGAGGCGGUAUCUGCAGAAGAAGCACCGGCUAACUCCGUGCCAGCAGCCGCGGUAAUUC
rnacentral:rRNA from 1 species